AGGUCACUGCUAUCGGUGUUCGUCUAAGCCAUGCGAGUCAUAUGUUCUUUGUGAACAUGGCGUACUGCUCAGUAACACGUGGAUAACCUGCCCUUGGGUCCGGCAUAACCCCGGGAAACUGGGGAUAAUACCGGAUAACGCAUAUAUGCUGGAAUUCUUUAUGCGUGAAAUGGAUUCGUCUGCCCAAGGAUGGGUCUGCGGCCUAUCAGGUAGUAGUGGGUGUAAUGUACCUACUAGCCGACGACGGGUACGGGUUGUGAGAGCAAGAGCCCGGAGAUGGAUUCUGAGACAUGAAUCCAGGCCCUACGGGGCGCAGCAGGCGCGAAAACUUUACAAUGCGGGAAACCGUGAUAAGGGGACACCGAGUGCCAGCAUCAUAUGCUGGCUGUCCGGGUGUGUAAAAUACACCUGUUAGCAAGGGCCGGGCAAGACCGGUGCCAGCCGCCGCGGUAACACCGGCGGCCCGAGUGGUGAUCGUGAUUAUUGGGUCUAAAGGGUCCGUAGCCGGUUUGGUCAGUCCUCCGGGAAAUCUGACGGCUUAACCGUUAGGCUUUCGGGGGAUACUGCCAGACUUGGAACCGGGAGAGGUAAGAGGUACUACAGGGGUAGGAGUGAAAUCUUGUAAUCCCUGUGGGACCACCUGUGGCGAAGGCGUCUUACCAGAACGGGUUCGACGGUGAGGGACGAAAGCUGGGGGCACGAACCGGAUUAGAUACCCGGGUAGUCCCAGCCGUAAACGAUGCUCGCUAGGUGUCAGGCAUGGCGCGACUGUGUCUGGUGCCGCAGGGAAGCCGUGAAGCGAGCCACCUGGGAAGUACGGCCGCAAGGCUGAAACUUAA
rnacentral:rRNA from 1 species